UGCAGCGUGUCUGCCUCAGCACAGCUCCAGGGCGUCUGCACCAUGGCCUGGACCCCACUCUCCCUCCUUGUCCUUGGUCUUGGCCUCCUCCUCCACUGCACAGGGUCCCUCGCCCAGCCUGUGCUGACUCAGUCGCCGUCUACCUCUGCCUCCCUGGGAGCCUCGGCCAAGCUCACCUGCACUCUGAGCAGGGAGCACAGCACCUACACCAUUGAGUGGUACCAGCAGCAGCCAGGGAAGGGCCCUCGGUUUGUGAUGCAGCUUAAAAGUGAUGGAAGCCACAGCAAGGGGGACGGGAUCCCUGAUCGCUUCUCGGGCUCCCGCUCUGGGGACCAGGGUUCCAGGAUCCCCAGCCGCUUCUCUGGAGCCAAAGACACCUCGGCCAUUGCAGGUGUUCUGCGUAUCUCUGAGCUGCACCUGAGGAUGAGGCCGACUCUCAUGGAGGGACUUAUCAAGGCAACACUGGCCCUUACACAGGGCUCCAGACCACGGGAGUGUGACUGA